rnacentral:rRNA from 1 species
GCACAGGUGCUGCAUGGCUGUCGUCAGCUCGUGUCGUGAGAUGUUGGGUUAAGUCCCGCAACGAGCGCAACCCUCGCCCUUAGUUGCCAGCAUUCAGUUGGGCACUCUAAGGGGACUGCCGGUGAUAAGCCGAGAGGAAGGUGGGGAUGACGUCAAGUCCUCAUGGCCCUUACGGGCUGGGCUACACACGUGCUACAAUGGUGGUGACAGUGGGCAGCGAAGGAGCGAUCCCGAGCUAAUCUCCAAAAGCCAUCUCAGUUCGGAUUGCACUCUGCAACUCGAGUGCAUGAAGUUGGAAUC